rnacentral:rRNA from 1 species
GAUGAACGCUAGCGGCGUGCCUAACACAUGCAAGUCGAACGUGAGAGGGUACUUGUAUCCUUGAAAGUGGCGGACGGGUGAGUAAGACGUAGGUGACCUGCCUUGAAGUGGGGGAUAACCAUUGGAAACGAUGGCUAAUACCGCAUAAGCUGGUGACGAUGGGAAUGGUUAUCAGGAAAGCUUUAGUGCUUUGAGAGGGGCCUACGGCCGAUUAGCUAGUUGGUGAGGUAAAGGCUCACCAAGGCGAUGAUCGGUAGCUGGUCUGAGAGGACGAUCAGCCACACGGGAACUGAGACACGGUCCCGACUCCUACGGGGGGCAGCAGUGAGGAAUAUUCGGCAAUGGGGGCAACCCUGACCGAGCAACGCCGCGUGGAGGAUGACGGUUUUCGGAUUGUAAACUCCUUUCUCAGGAAGAGCGAGGACGGUACCUGGGGAAGUAAGUACACGGCUAACUACGUGCCAGCAG